rnacentral:rRNA from 1 species
GUAUACGCCCUUCGGGGGAAAGAAUUUCGGUGAGGGAUCGGCCCGCGUUAGAUUAGUUAGUUGGUGGGGUAAUGGCCUACCAAGACUACGAUCUAUAGCUGGUUUGAGAGGAUGAUCAGCAACACUGGGACUGAGACACGGCCCAGACUCCUACGGGAGGCAGCAGUGGGGAAUCUUAGACAAUGGGGGCAACCCUGAUCUAGCGAUGCCGCGUGAGUGAUGAAGGCCUUAGGGUCGUAAAGCUCUUUCGCCUGUGAUGAUAAUGACAGUAGCAGGUAAAGAAACCCCGGCUAACUCCGUGCCAGCAGCCGCGGUAAUACGGAGGGGGUUAGCGUUGUUCGGAAUUACUGGGCGUAAAGCGCACGUAGGCGGAUUAGUCAGUCAGAGGUGAAAUCCCAGGGCUCAACCCUGGAACUGCCUUUGAUACUGCUAGUCUUGAGUUCGAGAGAGGUAAGUGGAAUUCCGAGUGUAGAGGUGAAAUUCGUAGAUAUUCGGAGGAACACCAGUGGCGAAGGCGGCUUACUGGCUCGAUACUGACGCUGAGGUGCGAAAGUGUGGGGAGCAAACAGGAUUAGAUACCCUGGUAGUCCACACCGUAAACGAUGAAUGCCAGUCGUCGGGUAGCAUGCUAUUCCGUGACACACCUAACGGAUUAAGCAUUCCGCCUGAGGAGUACGGUCGCAGGAUUAAAACUCCAAGGGAUUUGACGGAGGGCCCGC